rnacentral:lncRNA from 1 species
CCAGCCAUCUUGUACUUCGCAGGGUCCUUGUACUUAUACAUCUCCUUCAGAGCCUUGGUACAGGCGGAAGGAGUAGCAAUCGUGAGCGGAUUCUUGGGAUCAGGAGGUGGAGUGAAAACAUGGUGGAUGAUAUCAUCGACCAGGAGGUCAGGGGAGACAUGGGAGGAAGACAUUACAGCCCUGCAAGGAAAUCGCCAAGUUCAAGUAGAGCGGGAAAGAGGGGAAGUAAAAAAGGAAAGUAACUGUGGUAGAAGAAGGCAGUAAAUAUUUAUAAAGAGGGGGGCACAGAAGACGAAGAGUUACGAAUACCUGGCCUCAUCAGAGGUCGGGGGUCCAGAAGAACGGAGCCGGAAGCGAGUCGCGGGGCUGACGGAUGGGGGCCGGACCCCGAGUGGGGAAUCGGCGUGACCGGCGGAGGCCCGAGGGGCCGGCGAGGCAUCACCCGGAGGCCGAAGGGCGUCGGGGGCCCGGGAAAAAGGAUCGGCGGACGAGCGAAGCUCGAGCAGGAUGCGGGCCAGAUCGAUGGAAGGCGGUGAGGGUAAACCAAUGGCACAAACUGAAGCACGAAAGGAAAAGAGAUGUUCAAAAUUUAAAAGGGACGCAAGGCUUCAAAAUAGUAUUUAGUGCUAAGUUUCUAUUACAAGCCCGAGAGCACUACAAAAUUACAGCAAAAGCCACAAGAUGCCCUAAACUACAAAACAGGAAGAAAAAGCUAAAAAGCUAAACGAGCUUUAAAGAAAAAGCAAAACGACGCCGGGAAGUAAGUCGGGGGAACCACGCGACCUCCCUCCGAGCACAACACAAGGAGGAGAGAGGAGGAGGUAUCUCUAGACGGCGCACCUGCAGGGUCAAACAGACCCAUAACCCAUAGGGACUGGGCCGAAGCAGCCCCCGAACCCGACGCGAGCGGAGGUUUAGUGGCCCGACUUCGGCGGCCCCGACAAGAAGUGACGCAAGUCAGUAGCAGAGAGGAACGAGGACCCACGUGAGCCACGACGACCCGCGAGAGCGCCGACGACAACCCCCACCAGCAACAGGGGCAGCAGAGGCCGAAUCGCGCAAGGAGCAGCAGAAGCUGGACGUGGCAGCUGCAGCAGCAGCAGAAGAGACCGGGGUUCCAGAAGAAGAAGGAGCGUCGGUCUAGCAAAGUUGCGUGAGGCGGCGGUGUAUGUCAAUCAUGACAGAGUUAAGCCGCUAGCUCUCUGACACAGUAUGGAAGGAGCCAGCAGGAAACAGUAAGCACUCAGUUCAAGCGGAGUGUUGGAGCUUCACCUCACGACCAAACUCCUCUAGUAGAUCUUGAACGGCCAUUGAUUUUGUUUUUCUGGUCGUCAAAGAAAGCGGAUGGAGAAUACUUAUAGACACGUGAAGAGAAAAUGCGUGAGACACGAGACACUAUAAAGAAAGUUAGGUGGGUGGCCCUUUUGGCCCCCCGGCCCGGGGGGGAGUACUGUUGGUACCAGGGCCCGUCGAGUCGGGCCCCGGACCAGACAGGCCCGCUAGGCCUACUAGGCCCUAGGGCAAAUAGUUAUAAAUACCUCCCAUGGUGCAACAGGGAGGGGGAUCGGUUACCUGAAAUAGGAAUACUAGAGAGUUGUGUGUUUGAACACUCGAGCUCGAGCCCAC